UGUCUCUUAGAAAGUGACGGAGGAACUUCUGUCUGUAACAACACUCCUGAGUUUGAUGAUAAAAUCACUAUCGAUAGUCAAGCACAGCCCACUGAGUUGUCAUCUUCAGAUAGAAAGAAUGACUCAGAAAGUCUCAGCUCAAACUUAAACCUGACUUCAUCUAGUUCAUGCAAGGUUCACCAUUCCUCAAGUCAGUUGAAUUUGCUGACUGAAAAUCGCAUUGAGCUUGAAGGCAGUAAGAAAAAUUCAGCUCAAAGUUCUACAAGUCUGGAAGAACUCAGCAGUAUUCCAAAAGAAAAUGACUCAGAAAUUUCUGCCACAAAUUCGUGUGAGCCAAAAUCUGCCAAUGAGGAACAAAUUUCGUUCUGUAGCAAUUUGGGAUUAGGACGACUCAAAGUGUCUGAUGAGCCUAACAGUUCCACCAAUCAGCCUGCUGAUAAUCCUGGACGAAACGAUGUCGAUUCUACAAAGAAAGAUACAUAUGAUUCUAAGCUAUCAACCAAUUUUAUCGUACCUGACAAGUUUUUUGCAGAAGAACCUGUAGCGAAAGAUGAUUGUAUUUUCGAGCCCAUGUUGUCACCACUCAUAGAAAAACUUAUUAGCUCUAAGCCUAUCGCAGCAAAGGAUGCAUUGCCAGAAGUUGCUACAGAACUAAAUCUGUCCAAUCUCUUGAAAACCUCCGCAUGUGCUGAGGCAAAAGCUGUGAACCCUGCAGCAACCACUGGGCCGAGCUCAAAGAGAAAGUUUUCAGAUGAAGGUGGCUCAAGACUCUCAACCUCCUUCUGUCCUCAGAAUAUGGAUGCCGGAGAAACAAUGCUCCUCCAAGUGUAUUUUAAAAGGUUCAUGAAGAAGUGAGUGGUAAAAAUAUCGUUUCUUCUUCAUCCUGCGUUUGAAAUAGAACCAUUGCCAUCACAGUACUUUUGUGCAGAGUUCCGGCAUGUAAAAUAACAAUUGUGUAAUUUGUUUUAUUCUCCAAAUGCGUUACAAUUGAAUCGACGUAUGCGAAAACAUCCGAUGUCCAAGACAGUGUUAUAGAAUUUGAGUGGACAGUUUUGAUGUAACUUAAUGACACAAGAUGGUACAAGACAUUAGGAAUGAAGGACCACAUUAUAAUAAUUCUCUAAGUGUAAUUAAACGGUUACAAAAGAGAUUGAUCCUAUUCAUCAGUGUCGUGGGACAAAAGAAACCCACCGCAACUAUGAAACCCUGUAUUAGACAACGGACGUUUUCGCGUACGUCGACUCAAUUACUAUUACUAUCUUGUUUUUACAGAGAACAUGUUUUAGCCAGUGUUGUGUAAUGAUAGUAAUAUUAAACAAGUGACGCAUUUAUUAUUUCACUUCUCAUGUGAAUGUUCUCUGUAUCUUCAUAGACUCAAAACCUUAUGGAAUAUCCACUACGACAUAUUCUCAGUAAUAAUUUUCUUAGCAUAAUUUGUAUGUUGGUUUUGUUCUAUGAAAGUUUAUAUUAGUCAUUUUCAGGGGCGGAACCAGCAAUUGGCAACAACGGAUUCCCUCCAUUUAAACCUAUGUUAAUUAAUCGAUUCUUGGGGGGGCGCUGGCCCCCCCAAGAAUCGAUACAUUUCCAUAGGUUUAAAUGGAUAAUAGACAAUGUUGCCAAUUUGCUGGAUCCGCCGAUGGUCAUUUUGUCGAUUCGUAACAGUACACAGGAAAGAGACAUUAGUUCACAGCAACUCCGAAUUAAUUCAUUAUCACUUUAAAAAAAGAAGAAUAAGUUAUCAUCACCAGAGCACAGAGGAGUGUUAUACAAAUAUUUUACUGCACAAGACCCUUAUCAAACUCAUCUAGAGUUAAGGCGAUUUGAAGGAAGCAUUACAAAUAAAUAAAUUCAAGGAAAAGCUGUAUUAAAUUCUAAUCUGCCCUGUUCAGAAUACUAAAUCACCGGAUCAUGAUGCAAUGUAUGCCUGCCAGGGGUGCAAAAAUUAACUAGACCUCUCGCAACUUACUCUUUCGGACUCUAGAAAGAGUUUUCAGUUAAAAACUCAAUAUCUGAUUUUUCGACCCAAUUUCAAUAAAUGGGUAGUUUUUGAUGUUGCUAAAGUUUUAUUAAAGUUCUCUGGAUUAUUGCAGUCUCCCUUAUUUUGACUUUUAUGUACGUUUAAAGUUUAUGUAGAUUGCAUUAUUGUUUUCUUUUUGUUGUAAAUCAUUUGUUUUUAUCUAUCAACUGCUUCUCCUGGUCGGUAAUUUUGCCCAAUUAUAGGUCAUUACGUUUUGUUGUGUCAAGAAAUUGAAAUGAAUCAGUGAGUUGAAGGUUUUAAGUUGAAAUUUUUUUUUUGGGUCAGUUUUUGAAGGAGUUACCGCUAUUAAUCUGAGACAUUUAGCAUGAAAAAAUUACUCCCUUAUGCAUUGUGUUUGCAAGUUGCAUUUUUUUUCACAUUAUAGCUUACAACUUCUGUGAGUAACACAGUCAUUUUGAGUGGUAGAAGAAAUGAUGUGUGCUUAUCUAUCAGUCUUUUGUCAAAAGCAGCUACUUCAUUUGAUAUUAUUCACUUCAAUUGGUAUUGUUUUAUUCAAUUUUGAGGUUUGUGCUGUGUUUCGCUUCUCAAUUAUGUGUUUCGGGCUGACUAUGUUUUUUUUUUUAAUUUGUUUUAAAUAAUUUUUUAUUGUGGAUCAAACUUAAUUUUAUUUUAAUGAUUACUCACACAGUCAGUGAAGAAGAGUUGACUUCUUUUGAAUAUGUAAAGUUGUAACUAUUUUUGUUGUCUACUGAAGUUGAUAUUAUUGAUUAAACCAGUUGUUACUUUUCCCUAAAAACAUGUUAGUUUUUCACAUAUCUCUUCUGAACUGCUAUCUCUUUAUUUCAAAUGAACAAAAGUCUAAAAGUAAGUUUGAGUAUUCCUGUUUUGGAUCUGUGAGAAGCUAGUAUUAAAGUGUACUUCAGAUUAGUUCAGAUUUUUAAAAAUAUUUAGGAUUUGCCCCCCCCCCCCCCUUCCUCCAAGGAAAAUAUGUCUGGUUGCUUUUUAUUCACCAGUCCAAAGUGUCCAGCACGUUUGCAUCCAACAAAUUGUGUGAGGUCAUAUCAAACCCAUAAACGGAGAAAGUCAUGUAGCAGGUAUACAGAUGGGAGAAAAGAAGAAAUACAAAUUGGAAACAAAGCUACUAACAUUUAAAAAUACUCAGUACAUUGCAACCGGCGACUGUGGCCAUCAUCAAAGCUAUCAAAAACCAAAACUCAAAAACUAAAGCCACAAAAAAAAUUGUAUAGCUCAAACCGCAAAAGAUCAGUCCAAAAAUUGAAUCAAAGAGGGCUGAUAAGGUCUUAAAGCAUACAAAUUUCUGAACAACCAAUGAUGAAGAAAGCUUCCAGGUGUGUACAACGCAAUGUUCAAACAAACACGAAUGAGAACAACAUACGGAUCCUUGUGCCACAACCCAUGAUUGAUGCGCGUUAUACGUGGUCUUCGGUUCGGGUCUGACGUCAUUAGAGAGUCUAAUACUUUAUUUUUUGUAGACUUCAACAUGAAUUACUUGUCGAAUGAUACCCAACUUGUUUUCGAUCGCCGCUUUAACAGACUUUGAUUAGUGUUUUUCAAUGAGAGAAUUUUGAAGGAAUUGAUUGAAUUGAUUUACUCUCCUUUUUUUGUUUCUUUUAGCACAAAUAAAAACAAAGAAUUACGAAAAAAAAAGUAGAGGACAUAGGCACCUACUAAGGCAAAGCCUCGUGACAGGUGGACUGGUGGAGUCUUACAAGUUAUUGCUAUUACAAUCCAACACAAAGAAGAAUCUAAGUAAAAAUAAUGAGAAUGUUGCUUUCACUUUCAGGAAACAUAAUAAACUAAAUUAUCGCAUUAAAUUAAUGAACUUAUUUGACUAAUCGAAAUUAAAGUAAAGACUUACAAUGAAACUGGAUGGAUGCGUCUAAAUCGUCAAGCGCUUUGAACAACUAUUACUGCCCCCAAGCAGCGAACAUUGCCUAAUUGCGUUUUUGAAGGCGAACUAGUCGGAGAAGCGCGAAACACUACAGCUGCAUUGUGAGCGUAGUUUCCUUGCCGCUCAUGCUCAUCCAAAACUGAACAUCAAACGUUCUUCGAGUUGCGAUUCAAGACAUCUGCGCCACGCCUAUUUGACGAAUACUUAAAAGAAAAUAUAAAUGGAUGAAACAAUAAAUGGAAAAUAUAGGUAAAAAUUAGAAAAAUAAAAAAGACCACAAAUUUUGUAGCAGUGCUUAACCUAAAAUAUAGGUGCAUUUAUACAGGCGUAUCUGAAGAAUAGAAUCCUAAGACUUUAUCCUGAAAUGUUCAGCGGGCUGAUUUUCAAAUUUGAUAGACAAAGCGAUUCCAAAAUUAGUAUUUUAUUUUAAAUUUAAAUUAUUUACUGAUUGAAAUUCCUGACUUUCUUAGUUGUCUAUAUAAUGUUUGACCCUAUAAUUUUAGUUCUGUUUCAUUUUGAUUCUUGCGAUCAUGGCGAUUAGCGAUUCUGCUGAUGGCUCCAUCACAACCUCCAAUUGGUUGUUGUUGUUUUUUUUUUGUUUUUUUUUUAAUUUAUGAAAAAUUUAGUGUGACCUUCUCCAAUACAAGAAUUUUACACAUUGUUAAUAAUAUGAAUUAAGGAAGAGUAAUGUAAACGACAUUAUUUCACACAAAUUCAUUAAGAGAUAUAAGCUGGACCUUUGGGAAAUAUUCCGGAGAAUGAAGGGAGAUGGAGGAGAAGAGAGGUUAUAGACUCUGCGUAAAUGAAAACAGCGGUUUAGCUCUAGUUACGAUCCUCGUCGCGUCGGUGCACCUUCCUUUCACGCUAAUUCCUUUCACGCUAAUUACACCAAUUAAAAUAUUAGUACUUAGUUACUUACUCGGUUUCGUCUUGUUUCCGCCUGGAGCCAAGUGCAAGAUCCGUGUCUUCAAACAAACCGUCUGCCGCGGCAAUUAAUUAGGCAGAUUCUCUCGGGUCCUCGCCUCCUGGCUGAAAUUCGCCGAUUCGACCUCGCCUUUCCUCCGGUCAUCCUUCAACUUUAUGGCCUGUAAAAUUUUGAAAAUCCCAAAUCUCGCUCCGGAGAAUUCCGUAUAGGUGCCGUGAACUCGCAAUGUCGAAUUGUCAAGGGCCGGUAGAAAUUCUGACUUACCCAAGUAGCAGUGGUCGCGAUAAAUAGCGAUUUUAUCGGUUGAUUAUCGCGAUUAUAUUGGUGGCAAUUUAUCGCGAUUAUAUCGGUGUCAAUUUAUCGCAAUAUUAUCGAAUAAAAAAUUUCGAUUUAUGGCGAUUAAAUCGCUGUGCAUCGCAAUUUUUUGUUCAAUAAAAUCGCGAUCAAUUUUCGUCCAUAAAAUCGA
rnacentral:lncRNA from 1 species